rnacentral:rRNA from 1 species
GACGUAGGGCGCGAGCGUUGUCCGGAUUUAUUGGGCGUAAAGAGCUCGUAGGCGGCUUGUCGCGUCGUCCGUGAAAACUUGGGGCUCAACCCCAAGCUUGCGGUCGAUACGGGCAGGCUAGAGUUCGGUAGGGGAGACUGGAAUUCCUGGUGUAGCGGUGAAAUGCGCAGAUAUCAGGAGGAACACCGGUGGCGAAGGCGGGUCUCUGGGCCGAUACUGACGCUGAGGAGCGAAAGCGUAGGGAGCGAACAGG